GAGUUUGAUCAUGGCUCAGAGUGAACGCUGGCGGCAGGCCUAACACAUGCAAGUCGAGCGGCAGCGCGGGGGCAACCCUGGCGGCGAGCGGCGGACGGGUGAGGAAUGCAUCGGAAUCUACCUCGUUGUGGGGGAUAACCUCGGGAAACCGGGACUAAUACCGCAUACGACCUACGGGUGAAAGUGGGGGACCGCAAGGCCUCACGCGAUGAGAUGAGCCGAUGCCGGAUUAGCUAGUUGGCGGGGUAAAGGCCCACCAAGGCGACGAUCCGUAGCUGGUCUGAGAGGAUGAUCAGCCACACUGGAACUGAGACACGGUCCAGACUCCUACGGGAGGCAGCAGUGGGGAAUAUUGGACAAUGGGCGCAAGCCUGAUCCAGCCAUGCCGCGUGUGUGAAGAAGGCCUUCGGUUGUAAGC
rnacentral:rRNA from 1 species